UGGAGCAGCCGCGCUAAUAGGUGAUCCCCGAAUGAUUGGUGGUGUAGGUGAAGGCAUUGUAUCAAUUUAGCUCAUUAUCAUACACUGAGAAAAGUAUUGUAUCAGACUUAACGCUGAUUGCAGUUGGGAGCAGGCUUCUUUGAUGAACUAUGCAGAUGAGCAAGAAUCAUUCCUCUCACCCUCUGUUCAGGCUCUGUAUGAUGCCAUCCAACUACAGGAAGCUUGUGAGGCAUGCAAGACAAGCAUUGAUGAGGCCAUCCAAUCACAAGAUGCUUGUGAAGUCUGCAAGAUUAGCAGGAGUGCUAUUGGUGACAGUGGUGAGCUGCAGUGGGAUAUCAUUGCUGCACUUUUACCAGGCGCAGGUGAGCCGCUCUGCCGCAGCAGGACGGAGCAGCUGUGCCGGCCCUUACGUGCCCUGCUGGUAGC